GCCCUUCAACUAAUAAAAGAAAAAGAUGUGCAACACAAAUGGAAGUAGUACAUGGACGGACUGACCGUCAACUAAUAGUGCUAAAUGAGUUGAACCAGCCUAUUGGUACAACUAAAGUAGUGGUCACUGAAUUUUCCAGCUUUCUUGGCACAUUGGCAAGGAAUGGGAUAUUUUGUCCUCUUAAUCUCAGUUGGACAAAGUUGAAGACACACGAUGAAAUAUGGAGCUAUAUUCAGGAGAAAUAUGACAUUCCCAACAAUGGAAAAGAUUAGGCUAUGAGAUCAGUUUACCUGGGAGGACAAAAAUAACCCUGGUGAAUCUCGAUUUCCUGCUCAGAAACUUAAAGAAUCAUGAAUCAAUAAGGGUGUUCGAGAAAUCAUCAGAAAGCUAAAAAGUUUUUUUCAGCUGGAUCACUAGCAGCUCUACAAAACAAACAAAUACUAGAACACAAGCUACAUAAAUGCAAAGAAAAAUAAUCAAAAGCAGAAGGAGAAGUCAAAUAAUGUUCCGCCUAUAUAUCAAGUACCAAAACAAGUGCAAUAGGUGCCAGCUAUAUCUCAAGUAUCAGAACAAGUGCAACAGGUGUCUCUGGAUUCAACCUCUCUUGCUACACCAGUAGAGGAGCAAGUACGACAAGAAUUGCCAGACUCCACCAUUCGUGCAUCACAACCCACAGUUGAACGAGUAUAGUAAGAUCAGUCACAACUUUCUAAUUUACGAGCAAACGAACAAUUUGGAGCAGGCAAGAAUAUAUAUAUAUGUUAGUUCAUACUAUUUCAAAAAUUAUCUGCAUUUCAGUAAUUCUGUUGUUGAUAUUAUUAUAGUCCCUUCAACUAAUAAAAGAAAAAGAGGCGCUACACAAAUGUAAAUAGUACAUGGACGGACUGACCGUCAACUGAUAGUGCUAAAUGAGUUGAACCAGCCUAUUGGUCCAACUAAAGUAGUGGUCACUGAAUUUUUCAGCUUUCUUGGCACAUUGGCAAGGAAUGGGACAUUUUUUCCUCUUAAUCUCAGUUGGACAAAGUUGAAGACACACGAUGAUAUAUGGAGCUAUAUUCAGAUUUUAAGUUCUCAAUAUUUUAAUUUCUACUUGAAUGUUUUUUCCAGUUUUACACUAACCCAAUUCAACCAAAUUAUAGGAGAAAUAUGACAUUCCCAACCAUGGGAAAGAUUGGGCUAUGAGAUCAAUUGCUACUGCGUUUAGAGGGUAUAAGUCCAGACUCAAGAAAGAUCACUUUUAUGUCUACACCAAUGAUAAAUUCGAAGGGCAAAAAGGCCUAGCACUGUUCUAGAACCUGUAUAUGAGGAUCUCCUUAAGUAUUAGAAUUUUGAAGAAGCUGAGGAUACAUCCAAGACUAACAAAGAAAAUAAAAAAAAGUUUAAGUAUCCGCACACUAUGGGAAAAAUAAGUUUUGCUCUAAUCCAUGAGGAAAAAAAGAAGGAAAAUUCUGGUACUUUGUCAAAUAAGUAAUUCUUUGUGGCUACUAGAAGAAGAAAACCUAAUCGAGUAUAUAAGGACACAUCUGAAGAGAUUACAAACAAAAUAGUUGAAAAACAGAGAGUAGAGACUCAAGAAAGUGAAGAUGAUACUCAAUCAACUGAUGUAUUCACAACAGUUAUGGGGCCUGAUCAUCCUGGUUGAUUAAGACUAUUGGGACAAUGGGUUACCAAGUCUCUUUUGAAACCGAAAGCAAGUGAUUCUGGAUCCUCUUCAAAAGCUGAUAAACUGGUGGAGAAGAGAGGAUGCAAUAAAGAAUGUAGGAAAAAUUCAAUGCUCAAAGAGAUAUCAUUGAGCGAGAUGUUACAAUGAACAUCAUUGCACAACUUUAGCGUUUAAAUCCAGGAUUAACACUUGAUUCUAAUAUGUUAGGAUUCAAUGUUGAUUCGUCGGGAGAAGUGGUUGCUAAUCAACCAAUAAACCGUCCAUCUGUUGGCAGUAACAAUCAAGAUCAGUCUUCAUUUCUUAAUCUGUUGGUAGUAAUAAUGGUUGUUCUAUAUAAGUGUUGCUCAUAUAAGUAUUGUAUAAUAGUUAUGUUAGUAUAUCUAUUGCUUAAAAAAUAUGAAAGCAUAGUAUUUUGUUUGAGGAUCAGAUAUCAUCCUUGGCUUGUAGGCGUGUUUUUCGGUUUUAGAUUGAUAUGGUUUUUUCUAAACCAAGGAAAACACCCUUGGACUCCACUUUAGGAAGUUCUUAAUAGUAGUAUUAGUCUCAAGCUCUCAGCUAUUGGAACCUGGUAGCCAUCACUUCUAGGCAGUUGCAUUGGAUUCAAAAUUAAAAAUAAUGGGUUCCCUUAAAUAUGUUGUAGCUGAUCAAUGCUCGAAGAGGAUCCAUGUUCAGUUGAGAAAUUUUCUUGUAAAAUAAAUGUUGGUGAUACAAGUGACGUUGACUUGAAAGGAAGUAGUUGUACUAAAAAUUCUGAUUGUAAUAUUGAACCUUGAAAUCUCUCAUUAACUACAGAUUGGCCUUCUAGCCUACGCUGUUGAUAAUUGCUGCUAGAUAGUCCUUCUAGCUCAUUAACUACAGAUAGUCCUUGAAAUUUCUCACAUUAUUCUCUGGAACCUCAAAAAUCUAAAUUCUAAAAUAUUUUGUUUAGUGAUCUCGUGUACUUCUCUGGAAUUUGAUCUUGGUGGUUCUCUACAAUAUGCAACCUCAUAGUUUUCCUCAACAUGAUCAGCCAACACAUUAAAUGUAUUGGUAUAUUUGUCAGGCAAUACAAUUACUACAUGCCCUUUAACUGAAGUAAUAGUACUAUUUGCCCUUUCCUUACCACCAGAAGCAACUUUAACAUACUCACCAAGUUCAAAUAUCUUGGACAAAUCUUUGUUGUGUAUUACAAUACUCUAGGAAGACCUUCACUCUCCAAUUUAAGGUGUCCAAAAUGAAGAAAGUGAUGAAGACAUUGACCUUACUUGAGAAGAUUUUUUGAUUAUGGAUAAAUGCUCUAAUAUUAAUAGUUUUGUGUUGACUUUCUUAAAACUUAUCGUGACUCAAACUUGCUAGUAUGUAAAAACUUAGCUAAUCAUUUGGACAUGAUUGCAUUUUGCUUUUGGAUUUAAAUUACUAGCUUGUUGCAUAUUUUGAAUUAUGAGAUUAUUAAUGAAUGAUUUUGUUUUAUGAUG